CCUCGCCGCGGAUGGCGGCGGCAUACGUCACGACCGUGGGGUGGUCGAUGCCCGGGACGUCGGGCACGCGCGGCUCGACCCCGGUGGCGACGACCA
rnacentral:tRNA from 1 species